AGAGUUUGAUCCUGGCUCAGAGCGAACGCUGGCGGCAGGCCUAACACAUGCAAGUCGAACGAACCCUUCGGGGGUUAGUGGCGGACGGGUGAGUAACACGUGGGAACGUACCUUUAGGUUCGGAACAACACAGGGAAACUUGUGCUAAUGCCGAAUGUGCCCUUCGGGGGAAAGAUUUAUCGCCUUUAGAGCGGCCCGCGUCUGAUUAGCUUGUUGGUGAGGUAAAAAGCUCACCAAGGCUACGAUCAGUAGCUGGUCUGAGAGGAUGAUCAGCCACACUGGGACUGAGACACGGCCCAGACUCCUACGGGAGGCAGCAGUGGGGAAUCUUGCGCAAUGGGCGAAAGCCUGACGCAGCCAUGCCGCGUGAAUGAUGAAGGUCUUAGGAUUGUAAAAUUCUUUCACCGGGGAAGAUAAUGACGGUACCCGGAGAAGAAGCCCCGGCUAACUUCGUG
rnacentral:rRNA from 1 species